UACGGGGGGGAGCAAGCGUUGUUCGGAUUUACUGGGCGUAAAGGGCGCGUAGGCGGUCAGCACAAGUCAGUUGUGAAAUCUCCGGGCUUAACUCGGAAAGGUCAACUGAUACUGUGCGACUAGAGUGCAGAAGGGGCAACUGGAAUUCUCGGUGUAGCGGUGAAAUGCGUAGAUAUCGUGAGGAAGACCAGUGGCGAAGGCGGGUCUCUGGACAGUUCCUGACACUGAGGCACGAAGGCCAGGGGAGCAAACGGGG
rnacentral:rRNA from 1 species